rnacentral:rRNA from 1 species
CUUGCCUCAAAUAAGAGGUCUAGCCUGCCCAGUGACACUGUUCAACGGCCGCGGUAUCCUAACCGUGCGAAGGUAGCGUAAUCACUUGUUCUUUAAAUGAGGACUAGUAUGAAAGGCACCACGAGAGUCAUACUGUCUCCUUUUUUCAAUCAGUUAAACUAAUCCCCCCGUGAAGAAGCGGGGAUAAUUCUAUAAGACGAGAAGACCCUAUGGAGCUUUAAACAAAUAACACUUGCCUUACCCCUUCCUUUAAUUUCAGAAAAAUUUCUCACUCUGGCAUCAUACUUAUAAGUUUUUGAUUGGGGUGAUCACGGAACAAAAACCAACCUCCGCAAUGAAAGACACUCCCUUAACUAAGUUAAGAGCUACAACUCUAUAUAUCAACAAAUUGACAUUAAUUGACCCAAUAUAUUGAUCAAUGAAC